GUAGUAUUCCCUCCAUCCCAAAAUUCUUGUCUUACAUUUGUUUAGAUACGGAUGUAUCUAACACUAAAAUGUAACUAGAUACAUCCGUAUUUAGACAAAUUUAAGACAAGAAUUUUGGGAUGGAGGGAGUACAAA
rfam:Triticum aestivum genome assembly, contig: Triticum_aestivum_CS42_TGACv1_scaffold_024693_1AS